UACGUAGGGUGCGAGCGUUAAUCGGAAUUACUGGGCGUAAAGCGUGCGCAGGCGGUUCGUCGUGUCCGAUGUGAAAGCCCCGGGCUCAACCUGGGAAUGGCAUUGGAAACUGGCGGACUCGAGUGUGGCAGAGGAAGGUGGAAUUCCACGUGUAGCGGUGAAAUGCGUAGAGAUGUGGAGGAACACCGAUGGCGAAGGCAGCCUUCUGGGCCAACACUGACGCUCAUGCACGAAAGCGUGGGGAGCAAACAGG
rnacentral:rRNA from 1 species